AAAGACACCUAGGAUGCCACAUAGGAAAUUCAACUCCUAACAGGUCGACAAGUGUCCGGUUGCGUUGCGUUUCAUUAAACUUCAUAUUUCGGGUGUGUGUUUGGGCUUUUUGUUUGGGGAUUUGUUGCUGUUUGUUUGGGACGUGAAAGUGAUGGGCUACGCUUGAUAUGAAGUCAGGUCCGUAACUGAAGGAAGUAAACCCUAGGCUUCUCGCGAUCGUCUCCUUCAUCCUUCUACGAGACUUCUCAUCUUCAUCUGUAUCAUCUCUACCACUGAAACGCUUCCGAUUAUUUCUUCUUCAUGUUUAAUCUCAAUUAGAUAUGUUCUAUAAUAAGACAUGUUCGGCGUUUCUGAUUUUAAAGUUUCAUCAUUCUCUCUUCUCUGCUGUAGCAGUUGUCUGCCGUAGCAGUUGUCCGCCUCCUUAGUUUUGGGAAUCGGUGGCGAGCUCAGAGCAGACGCUCAUGAAAUCCACCGUCAAUGUCCACCAUCUGAAUGCAUUCAACAUCUUUUCAAAGCGGGUUCGAUGUACUCUUAUCACCGGAUUUGAUAUUACUCGGAGCCAUCUUAGGAACAACGGGGAAAGUAAACAACAGAGUUUGGAUGGUCUGAUCAAAGAAAUUUGUAGAAUGCUUUGGUGAGUUUGUGUGGAUGGUCAGGGUGAAAGAAGAAGUUGUAGAAGGAACAAUGCAUCUUCUGUCCCUGGUGAUCAUUGAGGCUGGAAGAAAGAGCUUUAAGAAGCAAAUUGUGGGGUUGCAGGACUCAAGCUUGCUGUUGAUGAUGCCGCUACCAUUACUCCCUCUGAUCUUGGCUGCAAAAAGAUAACAAUGCAUCUGGAUGGAGGGAAGUUUCAAGAGACACACAGAUAAGAGAAUCAUGCCGUCAAGACUAUCCAAGAGAUAUAUGGCACAAUAAGUUUAUAAGCAAGUCUAAGAAUUUAUAUCUAAAGAUGAUGAUUCUGAUUUCUGAAACACACAGAGAAGAUGUUAUCAAACUUAUCGUGCCAUAUAAGGAACUUUCACUGAGAAUCAGACCAGCUAGGUAACAUGCCAUUGAAGAAGCUAUGAUCAAAUCUGAAAGUUCAAGCUUUACAAUUGUAAAAAGUUCAAGCUUUACCAUUGUAGAGAACUUGGGUGGUAUGAUCCAAACAGAAACUUAUUGCUCAAAUCCAAUUACUCGAGUGAAGUUAACCUAUGAAUUUUC